rnacentral:rRNA from 1 species
UGCCAGCAGCCGCGGUAAUACUGAAGGUGCAAACGUUGCUCGGAAUCAUUGGGCGUAAAGCGCACGUAGGCGGUCCGGUAAGUCGGAUGUGAAAGCCCUCGGCUCAACCGAGGAAGUGCAUUCGAAACUGCCGGACUUGAGUACGGGAGAGGGUCGCGGAAUUCCCGGUGUAGAGGUGAAAUUCGUAGGUAUCGGGAGGAACACCAGUGGCGAAGGCGGCUCCCUGGCCAAAGACUGACGCUCAUGUGCGAAAGUGUGGGUAGCGAACAGGAUUAGAUA